ensembl:snRNA U6 U6 spliceosomal RNA
CUGUGCUUGCACACAUACUAAAAAAUUGGAAUGAUACAGAGUAGAUUAGCAUGGCCCCUGCACAAGAGAUGACACACAAAUUCGUGAAGUGUUCCCCCCAAAA